CUGAAGGGACGUUGAAGACUACGACGUUGAUAGGCCGGGUGUGUAAGCGCAGCGAUGCGUUGAGCUAACCGGUACUAAUGACCCGUGAGGCUUAACCUUACAACGCCAGAGGCGUUU
rnacentral:rRNA from 2 species